rnacentral:rRNA from 1 species
CUUGGUGUGGUUGUUGCUGGCCCUCUCGGGGGCAUGUGCACACCCACCAUCCUCAUCUCUCCACCUGUGCACCUCUUGUAGACCUGGAUAGACUUUCCGAGGCAACUCGGUCGGGAAGAUUGCUGCGCUCUGUGAGCCAGCUUUCUUUGCAUGUCCAGGCCUAUGUUUUUCAUAUACCCCUAUAGAAUGUAACAGAAUGUAUCAUUGGGCCUUGUGCCUAUAAACCUUAUACAACUUUCAGCAACGGAUCUCUUGGCUCUCGCAUCGAUGAAGAACGCAGCGAAAUGCGAUAAGUAAUGUGAAUUGCAGAAUUCAGUGAAUCAUCGAAUCUUUGAACGCACCUUGCGCUCCUUGGUAUUCCGAGGAGCAUGCCUGUUUGAGUGUCAUUAAAUUCUCAACCUUAUUAGCUUUUGUUGAUAAUGGAUUGGAUGUGGGGGUUUAUUUUGCUGGCUUCUUCACAGAGAUCAGCUCCCCUUAAAUGCAUUAGCUGGUGCCCCGCGUGGACCAUCUAUUGGUGUGAUAAUUAUCUACGCCGUGGAUGUCUGCAAUCAUAUGGGUUUUGCACUGCUUCUAACCGUCUGUUCAUUCGGACAAUACAUGACAAUUUGACCUCAAAUCAGGUAGGACUACCCGCUGAACUUAAGCAUAUCAAUAAGCGGAGGAAAAGAAACUAACAAGGAUUCCCCUAGUAACUGCGAGUGAAGNGGGAAAAGCUCAAAUUUAAAAUCUGGCGGUCUCCGGCCGUCCGAGUUGUAAUCUAGAGAAGUGUUAUCCGCGCUGGACCGUGUAC